rnacentral:rRNA from 1 species
UACGGAGGGUGCAAGCGUUAUCCGGAUUCACUGGGUUUAAAGGGUGCGUAGGCGGGCAGGUAAGUCAGUGGUGAAAUCCUAGAGCUUAACUCUAGAACUGCCAUUGAUACUAUCAAUCUUGAAUAUCGUGGAGGUAAGCGGAAUAUGUCAUGUAGCGGUGAAAUGCUUAGAUAUGACAUAGAACACCAAUUGCGUAGGCAGCUUACUACACGAUCAUUGACGCUGAGGCACGAAAGCGUGGGGAGCAAACAGG